GCCUGCCUCCCCUCCCUAGCCGGCGACUGCCCCCUGCCCCACCCUGGUCUUGCAGUCGGUUGAGCGCCCUCCUGACCCCGUGAGUGCCAUCAGAGCGCGGCAGAGACGUGAAGAAGGGAGGGACUGUCUGCCCCUCUGCCGGCCUCGAUGUCCUCAUCUGUGAAAUGGGAGUGACAACUCGAAGGGACUUAGAAGAGGAACCAAACAAGGCAGAGGUCCGAGAUCCUGAUUACGGCUGGGAGGCACUUCUCGUUCGGGGCCAUGCAGCCUGCUGGCGACGACCAGGUGGCAGCCCUGGCCUGUCUGCUCACAGACUCUGCUGGUGGAAGGAAGGCGCGUCCUCAGCGGUCACCGCAGUGGCCCUGAGUGCAGCCCCUGCCACAGCGGCUAGAGGCCCAAGGAGGAUGCUUCCCCAUGCCCCCCUUCCUUCACUCUGCAGGCCUGUGCCCACCCACCUGUGCCCCUUCCUGACUCGCAGCUACCCUGCCCUACACCUUGAGCCCCUUGAAGGCACGUUGCUGGGGGGCUCGCUCUGGCCACAGUAAACAUCCCUGGAAGCAACAAAUGGGUCCUGGCCUCUUUCUCAUCCUGCCCCUGCCCCUGCCCUGGUGCCCGAUGUAAGCUGGGGGGAGGGGAGCCUCCGACGGGCUGCUUGCCUUGUCUGAACUGGGGAGAACCUCUUCUGUGUGGACUGGGCAGCGGGCACCUAGGGCCCCUGAGGGCUGCUGAGAUGCUGGGGGACG
rnacentral:lncRNA from 1 species